UUAGCCUGUGCAGACUGCACAUACAUUAAGCCCUAUAUUCCCAAAAUGAGGCUAAUAUACUUCACUUAACAUCAGUAUUUUAUGUGCCUGAAAAGUUCCUAGCAUCAAAUGGGAAUUAUGUGCUUUUAAAUUGAUCACACAUAGUAAAUAAAAUGCAAAUAGCACUUGAUCUGAUAUCAAUUUUAAUCAUAGAAGGUCAGGGCAUUAAGUUUUGUAUAUUUUCGACCGAAAUUCAGCCCCUGAACCAAAAGUUUAUCCUUGCAGAAAAAUCUGCUUUAAUAGAAUUGUUAAUUUAUAUUAAAUUUUAGUAAAAUAAUUAUGUAAAAGCCUUCAGCUCAUUUUAAAAUUAUUUUCUUCAUUUAUUUUCAAUAUUUAUUUAAAUUCUUAGAUUUUGUUUUAAGAGCCUGUUCCUACAGGAACCCAUGCAAUCAUAGAUCGGUACCUAGCUGAACAACCGGCUCUCUGGUCAGCUGGGCCCAGACGCCAAGUUACACUUCCUUACCCAGGACCUUGGGGCAAAUGCUCAACUAGUCCUACCGGCAGGGAGGAGCCACACUGAACCUGGGGCUCAAUACUUUCUUGGCCAGGGGCCAAGAUAACUUCGUCAAUAAGGGACACAUUCCUGGGAUGCCCUAAGGUCUUUCUAUCUGUUCACAGAGGUCUUCUACUCACAAGUUCAAGCCCAGUGAGCGAUGUUCACAUUAUCAAACUCUGCAUAUCAAUAGAAACCCGGAUAUCAAAGCGUUGAGCUUGUUCUUGAAGCAUUUGCACCAGCAACAGUCAUCAUCUCGAGUUACUGGCAUCUCUAUGGUGUGGAACCCUCCGUCUACGAACAUCAUAACAGCACAUGAACCAGUGGCAGUCAUCAUCUCAAGAUUCUGGUAUAUCCAUGGUGCAGGACCCUCGGUCUGUAAAGAUCAUGCAGAGCAAACCUUAGAUGCCAUUUGACGAAAUCAAACCAUCCAAUCAGAAACAGAGCCUGUUGCAGCAGUUGUUACCAUAUUGACCCCUGUCAAACCUAAGAAGUCCAUAGAUAAAUACUUUUUUAGAUGUGCUUGUCUCUACGUACCUACUGGUUUGUUCAGCACUUACUCUUUGAAUUUUAUGACGAGUGAAAAUGAAUGACCUUGUUCAGUUUGAAAUGGCAGAAUGACACAUCACAACAAUUUAAGUGGAAAGCCCGAAAGUCAUGUCAACAGCCACAUUUUGUAUGUGUAACAGCCAAGUUGUUUUCAAAGGAAAUGAAAAGUUUACGUUUUAUUUUUUAUGUGACCAAUGUUUCAUUGGUAUUAUGAUGCUGUCAGUCUCUUUAUGUUGAAAGUUUUGGUUAAAUAUAGCAUGUUAAGUUUUUUUUUAAAGCACACAUAUUGCAUUUAUAUCCAAUGUCUUUUUCUGUAUAAUGAAUUUUUCACUACAUAUUUUGAUCCUUAUAAUGGUAAAUGUAUGGGAAAAACAAUUUUAUCAUAGAUAUUCUAAGAUUGUCAAGUCUGUUUAAAUGAUGCUGGUAACUUUGACAAAAUUGAAAAAAAGGAGUACGUUCAUGUUUUAAGAUAUGUUUCAGUUUUCUGUUUUUACCCAUAAUAUAGAUAAGCUUAUUUAAUGAAUUGUUCACAAAGUUUUAUAACUUUUACGCUUCAGCUUUUUCUGUCUAGUAAUCCUGCCGAAAACAAUACUAGUCAAUUUGCUCAUUGGGGUUGGUAUUCGAUCAUGAAUCUUGUUUAGUAGCAUACUAUUUCAUUGGAAGAAUAAUACAUUAUAGGAAAAAAUAUUUAAUCUACCUAAAAUUAUUGAUUCUGUAAAUACCACUUUGUUGAUUUAAAUGGAUAUUGUUUGUAAAAUUAAUAUAGUAUCACUUUUGCGUGUUUGGGAAAGCUUUUAAUGAAACUGAGAAUUAAGAAAACAAAAAAAUAAAUAAGAGUUUUAUGAAAAUUGGCAUAAAUUAUUAUUGUUAAUUUAUGUUGUUAGAUCAUAGACGUGUAUGCUCACAAUUGUUAAACUUUGUUUUUGGACACAAUAGUUUAUUAUGCUUUAUGUUUGUUUAUGCACAUGAAGACGACCAGAGUGUAUCCUCUUUAAUAAGUGAGUAACUUAAUCAAGAUUUAUUGAUCACUGUAUAUAUUGUGUAGGUAUAUUUUGCCAUUUAUACAUAAAACAACUGUAGAACAAUUGUAUUUUAAACGUAAAUUAUUCUUGUAUUGUUGCCAUUUGUAUAAGAUAAACUAAAUGUUUACCUUAGUUUGUAAAAACCUUUGUAAAAAAUCAUUUUCUGUGUGAAUGCUCAUAUAUAUAUUAAACUGUUAAAAAUAAUUCACAGUACCAGAAAAAAUAGUCAAUUACACAGUAAGGGAAAGUGUUAUCAUAUGCUUACAAUUGUAAAAAAUUGCAAUUGUCUCUAUUUGUAAUAAUAGAGAGCAAUAUUAUUUGCUCAAACAAUAAAAACAAAGAUGUCUGCUUUGUAAAUUAAUAAUUGUGUUUACAUCUCAACAUAACACGUAAAUACAUUAAAGUCUAAAAGGAUUUUUUGGAAUAAACACUUAAAUAAAUAUAUGUGCGUAUAUACGCUGAUAAUAAAAUUUUACAUUCCAUUUAGUUUUGUAACAGUGCGUUUGACCUUUCACGUUGAACAUCCCACACUUGCUGUCAGUGCAGUGCCUUCAUUAGGGUCAUUUUUAUGCUCCCAGUAGGGUGGCAUAUAGCAGUUGAACUGUCCGCAGUAUGUCAGUCUGUCCAUUUGUUCGGAAAAAAAAACUUUAACAUUGGCCAUGACUUUUUAAAUAUUGAAGAUAGCAACUUGAUAUUCGGCAUGCAUGUGCAUCUCAUGGAGCUGCACAUUUUGAGUGGUGAAAGGUGAAGGUCAAGGUCAUCCUUCAAGGUCAAAUGUCAAAUAUAUGGUGUCUGUCCGUCCGUCUGUCCAAUAACUUAAACAUUGGCCAUAACUUUUUCAAUACUGUAGGUAGCAACUUGAUAUUUGGCAUCCAUGUGUAUCUCAUGGAGCUGAACAUUUUGAGUGGUAAAAAGUGAAGGUCAAGUAUAUCCUUCAAGGUCAAAGGUCAAUUUUUUUUAAUUCAAAGCGGCGUUCCCAUGAUGCUGCACAUUGUGAGUGGUGGAAGUUCAAGGUCAUCGUUCAAGGUCAAGGUCAUACUUCAAGGUCAAAGGUCAAAAAAAUAAUUCAAAGCGGCUUUGUAAUGAAGCUGCACAUUGUGAGUGGUGGAAGGUCAAGGUCAUCCAUCAAGGUCAAGGUCAUCUUUCAAGGUCAAAGAUGAAAAAAAUAAUAAUUCAAGGCGGCGUUCUCAUGAAGUUGCACAAUUUGAGUGAUGGAUUUUCAAGGUAAAGUUCAACCUUUAAUGUCAAAGGUAAAAAAAAAAUCAAAGUGGCGCAAUAGGGGGCAUACUGUGUCUCUGACGAACACAUAUAUUGUGUGUAAAUAUCCCACUGUUUUAAGUUCAGAAAAUGUUUUAAGACCAGAUUUCCUUAAACUUGGGGUUGUUAUUAUUUACUUUUAUUGAAUGCAUGAAACAUUUGUGUUCUGUUGUUGAAUAGCUAAACAUAGCUUGAUGUUUGUAAAUUGUGUGACAAAUGUUGAUCAAAUUGAUACAUAGAAAAAAAAACACAAUCUUCGUCAACUUGUAUGUGUUAAUUCCCACACACAAAUAUAAGUAUUUGGUAACAAUAUAACUAUUGUGCUUUAUUCGAAAUACAGUAUGAAAUGCAAUUUUAAAAUCAUGUCUUUAUAUGUUCAUCUUCUCCAAAUAAGCAUUUUGAAUAAGCAAAUAUAAUAUCUCUAUGGAAAGUAUCUGUAGGCCCCAUGCAAUCGAUUGUGUACCUCAUAUUGAUCAGGGUCUUUCUAAAUUAUUUCAUGAUUGUUUAUCCCUGUCUGAAUUGUGUAAAUAGCUUCAACAUCGUGAAUUAUCUGUUAAGAGGAUUUCAAUAUUAAAAGUUAAAAUGGUAUCUACACUGUAACCGUACAUAUGUUGCAUUUAUUUUAACAUGUUUAUAUGUUCUGGCUCCCUGAGUUUUAUUUGUCUAUUAUCUUGCGUACUUUAAUUGUGUUUUUUAAGACAAACAUCAUUAUAUUGAUUAUGUUGUUUUUGUCCAACAUUUCUAUAUAUACAAGUUGUAUGUAAAUAAUUAAAUAUGUUUAUGUUGAUGAUAUGUAUUUCCCGAUCUAAGUUUGAUGUUGAACUCUCAAUAAACGACAUGUUUUGCCAAUUAAAUCCCGAAUGAU